AGGUUAGCUGUAUUCCUUCUCUACUGCCGUCCGAGUUAUUUCAUUCGGGUCUACCUAUUGAGAGGCUAAACCCGUAAUGAUAAUAAUUCGCGCGGCUUGAGGACGGAUCAGCGAGUCUUG
rnacentral:pre_miRNA from 1 species